CUUUUACAUUUCAAAAAUCAAAACUCUAGCCGCCUCCCUGUAAAUCCCGGCUGAGAACCUGGAGAGGCUACGCCGGCGGUGAGGCUUUAUUUUGUCGUCCCCUUUGAGAACUGGGGGAAACCUGGAUUCCCAGAUCCGAGGAGCUGCUGCUGAAGGGAUCUCCGGUUGGCGAUCAGCUGCUGAAGCCGGCGCUGAACUGUGCUGUUAAUACUACUACUGAAGCCGCUGUGUGAACGGAGAGCUGCAGCUGAAGCUGUUGCAGAAGCUAGCAAUCCCAUCCAGUGGGGAAAGACGAAGAAGAACAACACAGAAGCUUCCUGCAACUCAAGCGGUGGAUUCCAACAAUGGACAGUAGGCAGCAAGUUCCGGUCUGAAUGAGGGAACAGUCUCCUCUAGUAUCUCGGUGACACUUGAUGAGGAGGACCUCUAUUUUGAACCCAACUGUUGAACUGUUUGACAGAAUUGACCUCAAUGAAGUGCAGACAGAUGUCGAUGUAGUCGAGCUCCCAAUACACAACCUGGACAAAACGGAGGAUGCUUGGGGGUUUUGCCUCAUAUUUUCCAACACGAUUUCCAGGCAACGAAGCGCUUUUUAAGGUUUGUGAUUCCUCGACGGGAACUUGUUCUUAUUUUGUUCACCCCAGUGGCUGGAUAAAUCUUCAAAGGAGAGGAUAGGAAUGAUGUGCUGAAUGCGGGGCCAUACUUUGUAUCUGGCAAACCCCUGUUGCUGAAGAUCAUGCCAAAAUUUUUUAAAUUUGACGACCAUGAGAUUAAGCAUGUCCCGGUUUGGAUAAAUCCCACGGGAUUAUGUGAGAUGGUAAAUGAUGUUGGAAAUGGGGAUAGUGGGGAAUGUGGCCCAUGUUCUCCACUAAACAUAAUGGAAAAGUCCAUUAUGCCCCUAGUGUAUUUCCUUAUAUAAAGGGGAUCCGUCCAAGGCUCAGUGUGCGUUGGAGACGAGAGUAAGAGGAGAACAUUCAAGGCGGCGGGAUUUGGUUUGUGGAAUUGCGGAGGACUUUCCAAUCUUGUGAUCGCUCUUCCGACAGUGAGUUUUCGCCACUGCAGACUGCGGAUCUGCGGGAGAUCGCUAUGGCACGGACGAUUACCACAUUGACUCAUCGCGAAGUACGACGAAAUCAGCUCAGGGAGGAGAUUCAGGAGAUAGAGUACAACUCUACUUAUGGAGCCGACGGACACAUUGGACGACUUGAUGAUUUGUUUUGGAAACUUGAGCGAGAAGAAUUUCCAGUCCUGGACAGUUAUAGGAUUUGGGCUUUGAUGCAAUCAUUGCCAGA